UACGAGGGGUGCAAGCGUUGCUCGGAAUUAUUGGGCGUAAAGGGUUGGUAGGUGGUCUUGUUUGUCUAAGGUGAAAUCCCAUGGCUUAACUGUGGAAGUGCCUUAGAAACGGCAAGACUAGAGUCCUAAAGGGGUUUGUGGAAUUCCCGGUGUAGCGGUGAAAUGCGUAGAGAUCGGGAAGAACACCCGUGGCGAAGGCGGUUCUCUGGGACGGUACUGACGCUGAGACGCGAAAGCGUGGGGAGCGAACAGG
rnacentral:rRNA from 1 species